GACGGAGGGGGCUAGCGCUGUUCGGAAUUACUGGGCGUAAAGAGCGCGUAGGCGGUUUAGUAAGUUGGAAGUGAAAGCCCGAGGCUUAACCUCGGAAUUGCUUUCAAAACUGCUAAGCUAGAGUGUAGUAGGGGAUGAUGGAAUUCCUAGUGUAGAGGUGAAAUUCUUAGAUAUUAGGAGGAACACCGGUGGCGAAGGCGGUCAUCUGGGCUACAACUGACGCUGAGGCGCGAAAGCGUGGGGAGCAAACAGG
rnacentral:rRNA from 1 species